rnacentral:rRNA from 1 species
AUACCGGAUGACUCUGACGGCUGCACGGAGGAGUGGUGGCUGCGCGCGAGAGCAGGCAUUCCCAAGCCAAUGCGCAGGAACUUCGACACUAUUACAAUUCUGUUGCACUGGAGGCUGUGGAAAGAGAGGAACUCCAGAGUUUUUGACCAAGUGGCGAGCAGUGCUGAAAGAGUCCUGGACUUGAUACGGGAAGACAUAGCAGUAUGGCGCUCAGCAGGCUGCAUAGCGGACCUUGGUUCCUAG